GCAGUGACAAGUAGGAAUGUGAGGGCAUUCAGCUACUGCUACCAGCACCAUAAUCACCACCAGGUAGAAAUCAAUUUCUUCCAAAGCAGAAGGUUAAGCUAAACCUGAACUGAAAUGAACUACUAAAAGAUUUUUUUCAGUGAACUACAACUGAAUCCAAGCCUAAAAUCUACCAUUUGCCUUGAAUCAGAACCCCAGUUCAAAAGACGUUACUCAAUAAUCAAACACUCAGGAGAUUAUUUUGAGACAUGGUCAGGGCUCCUAUCUGUGUUUCCUUGGCACUAAAGUUCCUCCCUGUUGCCAUUCUAUCAUUUAUCCUAAACAUGCCAUCUGGAUUUCCAGCAAACUGCCUGAAAGCAAAUGUGCUAUAGC